GACGAACGCUGGCGGCGUGCUUAACACAUGCAAGUCGAACGGAAAGGCCCUGCUUUUGUGGGGUGCUCGAGUGGCGAACGGGUGAGUAACACGUGAGUAACCUGCCCUUGACUUUGGGAUAACUUCAGGAAACUGGGGCUAAUACCGGAUAGGAGCUCCUGCUGCAUGGUGGGGGUUGGAAAGUUUCGGCGGUUGGGGAUGGACUCGCGGCUUAUCAGCUUGUUGGUGGGGUAGUGGCUUACCAAGGCUUUGACGGGUAGCCGGCCUGAGAGGGUGACCGGCCACAUUGGGACUGAGAUACGGCCCAGACUCCUACGGGAGGCAGCAGUGGGGAAUAUUGCACAAUGGGCGGAAGCCUGAUGCAGCAACGCCGCGUGCGGGAUGACGGCCUUCGGGUUGUAAACCGCUUUCGCCUGUGGCGAAGCGUGAGUGACGGUAAUGGGUAAAGAAGCACCGGCUAACUACGUGCCAGCAGCCGCGGUGAUACGUAGGGUGCGAGCGUUGUCCGGAUUUAUUGGGCGUAAAGGGCUCGUAGGUGGUUGAUCGCGUCGGAAGUGUAAUCUUGGGGCUUAACCCUGAGCGUGCUUUCGAUACGGGUUGACUUGAGGAAAGGUAGGGGAGAAUGGAAUUCCUGGUGGAGCGGUGGAAUGCGCAGAUAUCAGGAGGAACACCAGUGGCGAAGGCGGUUCUCUGGGCCUUUCCUGACGCUGAGGAGCGAAAGCGUGGGGAGCGAACAGGCUUAGAUACCCUGGUAGUCCACGCUGUAAACGGUGGGUACUAGGUGUGGGGUCCAUUCCACGGGUUCCGUGCCGUAGCUAACGCUUUAAGUACCCCGCCUGGGGAGUACGGCCGCAAGGCUAAAACUCAAAGGAAUUGACGGGGCCCCGCACAAGCGGCGGAGCAUGCGGAUUAAUUCGAUGCAACGCGUAGAACCUUACCUGGGUUUGACAUGGAUCGGGAGUGCUCAGAGAUGGGUGUGCCUCUUUUGGGGUCGGUUCACAGGUGGUGCAUGGCUGUCGUCAGCUCGUGUCGUGAGAUGUUGGGUUAAGUCCCGCAACGAGCGCAACCCUUGUUCACUGUUGCCAGCACGUUAUGGUGGGGACUCAGUGGAGACCGCCGGGGUCAACUCGGAGGAAGGUGGGGAUGACGUCAAGUCAUCAUGCCCCUUAUGUCCAGGGCUUCACGCAUGCUACAAUGGCUGGUACAGAGAGUGGCGAGCCUGUGAGGGUGAGCGAAUCUCGGAAAGCCGGUCUCAGUUCGGAUUGGGGUCUGCAACUCGACCUCAUGAAGUCGGAGUCGCUAGUAAUCGCAGAUCAGCAACACUGCGGUGAAUACGUUCCCGGG
rnacentral:rRNA from 1 species